rnacentral:rRNA from 1 species
GACGAACGCUGGCGGCGUGCUUAACACAUGCAAGUCGAACGGAAAGGCCCUGCUUUUGUGGGGGGCUCGAGUGGCGAACGGGUGAGUAACACGGGAGUAACCUGCCCUUGACUUUGGGAUAACUUCAGGAAACUGGGGCUAAUAACGGAUAGGAGCUCCUGCUGCAGGGUGGGGGUUGGAGAGUUUCGGCGGUUGGGGAUGGACUCGCGGCUGAUCAGCUUGUUGGUGGGGUAGUGGCUUACCAAGGCUUUGGCGGGUAGCCGGCCUGAGAGGGUGACCGGCCACAUUGGGACUGAGAUACGGCCCAGACUCCUACGGGAGGCAGCAGUGGGGAAUAUUGCACAAUGGGCGGAAGCCUGAUGCAGCAACGCCGCGUGCGGGAUGACGGCCUUCGGGUUGUAAACCGCUUUCGCCUGUGACGAAGCGUGAGUGACGGUAAUGGGUAAAGAAGCACCGGCUAACUACGUG